rnacentral:lncRNA from 1 species
UGGGCCAUCCUGUCUGAACUUUUCUUCCCUCACAGAAAAUCCAGAGAUAGACUCUCCUCAAGAAGUGAAGAUCUUCACUGAAGAAGAGGCCGCCACUUCUUUAGAAUUGCUGGUUGAAACAGCUGAACCUACAGAAUUUACGGAACUUUCUAUGGAGGCUAUAAACACUGCUGUGAUAAGUGUGGAUGGCAACUUAUUUCUUGUACAAACUACUGUAUAGAGCUGGAUUGUCCGCACUGAGACACUAAGUUUGGGAAUUACAAUCAAGAUAAAUCAGGCACAAAACAAAAAGCUUUUCAGAAUGUUCAUCUUCCUGCUCUUCGCAUCUCACUUCCUGCUCUUCGCAAAAAACUCGGAGUGAUUUUGAAUCAUACAGUUAAAAAAGAAAAUAAACCAGACCCUUAAAAGGGACCA